rnacentral:sRNA from 1 species
AUUUUUGAGACAGGCAGAAUCUAUGUCAACUUGGGUGACCUGGAACUCUUGAUGUAGACAAGCAGAGUGAGCUCCAACUAGCAGAGAUCCCCCUGACUCUGCCUCCCAGCACUGGGAUUGAAGUCAUGCCAUGCCUGCUCAGCCACCAUCUCAAAAAUGCUGGGAUGACGGUAAUGAGCCACCACAAUCAGCUUAUGAAGCACUAGGAGGAUCAAACCCAGGACCUCGCCAAUGCUAGAUAAGUACAGACCUCGCCUCUCAUCAAAGAAGCUUCUUUUUGCAGCAGACAGAGGCAAUUACCGAGAACCACAACUUAUCAAAGCAUAGAAAAUGAGUGUAAUGUGCCCAUCCACAAAUGGGACACCUGUGACGCAACAUCUAUACCCCAGGGUUUCAGAAUAGGGGGUGAAAUUACUUUAAGAGCCAGAGGACAGGAAAACUGCUGUAAGAUAGCAUCUGUGUACAUGAACUUGCAACAGUACAGUCGCCUGCGUGUGACCACAUGAGGAGCAAGAAGCUAAUUGCUUACAUCUUGAACUGCAAGUAUGAAGCAGAGAGAAAAAAACUGGAAAAUGACGUGAGUUUUAAAGCCUGUCUCCAGUGACACACUUUCUCCAACAAGAGCACAUCAUCAAGACCUCCCCAAAUAGCGCCACCAGCUGGACACCAAGUGUUUAAAUACAGGAGCCCACAGGGGACAUUUUCGUUUAAACCACUGCAUUUGUCCAAGUGAUCAACCCCACACCCAAGUAUACACAGAUGACCCGACUACAUACACACAUAUGCACAUACAUGUGCACACACACAUACACACGUGUGGGGGAGGGGUGGAUACGAUGUAAAUACAUUGUAGUUAUGUAUGAAAUUCUAAAAAGGUAAUAGAUGAUUACGUUGUUAUUUUUUUGUUCCUGCUUUUCCUAGUGGGAGCUGAAGCUGUUAGGAGGGGUCUCCGGAUGGAAUCGAUGUUGAAUGGGUUGCACAGAGGCCAGCUAGCAGAACCUCAUUGCCAUAGAACAGAAAACUCUCCAAAGACAAAAAAAAGGAAGAU